rnacentral:tRNA from 1 species
GUUUUAAUAGUUUAAUAAAAAACUUUGGUCUUGUAAUCCAAAAUUAAUCAAAAGAUUUUAAAACU